GUAGGAACCCUUGCUCAUUUAACAAAUAUGUACACCAUUUAUUAUUAGAAUAGUCGAAAUAUAAAAUAAAAUUUCAUGCAUCUACAAUGAACAAAUAAGCUCAAAACUAAAGUCAAAUUCUCAUUUAUGGCCAAUGCUUUAUUUGCAUAAUUAUGUACACCAAAUUUAACACUUGUAUCAGUUAUGGGCAACUCUCAAGGGACCCUAACUAGGCAUAUGCAGAUGC
rnacentral:misc_RNA from 1 species